GCCUUAUCUCAUAUAUAAGGUGUUACCUGCCCAGUGAUUUUAUUCUUAAGAUCAGUCUAAAAAAAAAAUUCAACGGCCGCUGUAUUCUUGACGGUGUUAAUGUAGGAAAAUAAAUAGUUAUUUAAUUGGUGAACGUAGGUGAAUGGUCUUACGAGGUUUUCACUGUCUUAAAUAUAAGCAACAAAAAUUUAAAUAAUAGUGAAGAUGCUAUUUAGAACUGUAAGACGAGAAGACCCUAUAAAGCUUAACUACAACCUAUAAACCAAACAAUGAAUCUUAUCAAUUCAUUUCAGUUAUUAUAGGCAGGUAGUUUGGUUGGGGCAACAACAUUUUAAACACAAAAAAUGUAAACGUUCUUAAAAAAGAAUAUUUUUGUUUAAUUUAUUAAUUUAACAAUCACAAAGUGGGUUUAAUGACCUGUCAACUUUAUAAAAACAAAUUGACAAUAAAUAAAUAAAAGCUACUUUAGGGAUAACAGGUUAAUUUCAUCCUAGAGAAGAUAUCAAAGAUGAAGUUUGACACCUCGAUGUUGAAUUAAGUUAUCCUAGUAAUGCAGCAGUUACUGAAGGUUGGUCUGUUCGACCAUUAAAAACUU
rnacentral:rRNA from 1 species